rnacentral:tRNA from 1 species
GACGGUAUAGCUCAGUGGUAGAGCGCGUGCUUAGCAUGCACGACAUCCUGGGUCCGAUCCCUGGUACCUCCA